rnacentral:lncRNA from 1 species
AAAAAAAAGAGAGAAUUAUCUAGUUUUAUGAAACCAUUUUUAAAAUUACGAUAGAAAAAAAUAGUUAAAAAAUUAUUUUAAGGUGUUUUUAGAAAAAGUGUAAUUAUUUUUAUAUUAUUCUUUUUAUAAGUCUAUUAUUUUAAUAGUAGAAGAAAUAUUCAGAAUUAGUCCCGUGGAUAUAGUCCUAAACAGUUAAAGAUGAACAACGUAAAUUUUUAUGUGUCACAAUUUUACUUUUUUACUAUAUAAUUAUUCUCGUAAUUUUAUUAUCUUGACCCUGACAAGAUCAUACAUAACCAGCUUAACCGUUUAAUGGCAGCAAACGACCAAUAAAGUUUGAUCUCAAUCACUUCUUUGUUGAAGCGUUGCAAAAACUCAAACCACAGGCAAAAAAUUUCAAAAAAUAAAAAUAAAAUUGAAGACUCAGAAAACCACGUACUUUACUGAGUUAGGAUAUAUUAGUUUCAAUUGCAUCAGAAAAGAGUGGAGAAAGUUUUUGGUAUAAUUUAAUUAUUUUUCUAAGCUUUUCAGACUUUGUUUUAGGUGGAAGUACGUAAACCACAAUUCUUAUUGCUUUAACUUGCUUUAAUUACAUUUCAUACUCUAAUUUUAAUUGCUUUGGCUUGCUUUAAUGCUUUCA